rnacentral:rRNA from 1 species
CAGCAGCCGCGGUAAUACGAAGGGGGCUAGCGUUGCUCGGAAUCACUGGGCGUAAAGGGCCGUAGGCGGCCAUUCAAGUCGGGGGUGAAACCUGUGGCUCAACCACAGAAUUGCCUUCGAUACUGUUUGGCUUGAGUUUGGUAGAGGUUGGUGGAACUGCGAGUGUAGAGGUGAAAUUCGUAGAUAUUCGCAAGAACACCAGUGGCGAAGGCGGCCAACUGGACCAAUACUGAGCCUGRAAGCGCGAAAGCGUGGGGAGCAAACAGGAUUAGAUACCCUGGUAGUCCACGCCGUAAACGAUGAMYMMUAGCUGUGUGGGUGCUUGCAC